rnacentral:rRNA from 1 species
UACGGAGGGUGCAAGCGUUAUCCGGAUUUACUGGGUUUAAAGGGUGCGUAGGUGGGUCUGUAAGUCAGUGGUGAAAUCUCCGGGCUUAACCCGGAAACUGCCAUUGAUACUAUAGAUCUUGAAUAUCCUGGAGGUGAGUGGAAUAUGUCAUGUAGCGGUGAAAUGCUUAGAUAUGACAUAGAACACCAAUUGCGAAGGCAGCUCACUACGGGAUCAUUGACACUGAGGCACGAAAGCGUGGGGAUCAAACAGG